GAUUAAGCACCUCAGGGUUUAAUCCCAAGUACCAAACAGAAAACUACAGUGAGAUACCACUUCAUACCCAUUAGGAUUACAAAAAUGAAGUAAAAAACAGAAUAUAAAAUGUACUGGUGAGGAUAUAGAGAGAAUUUGGAAUUCCUGAACCCUGCCAAGUGGGAAUGUAAAAUGACGAAGCUGCUUUGGAAAAGUUUGUUGGUUCCUCAAAAAGUUAUACAUAGAAUUACCAUAUGAUCCAGAAAUUGCACUCAUAGAUAUAAAUCCAAAAAAAUCAAAAGUAAGGAUCCAGGCAGAUUCUUAAAUAAAAGUGUUUUUUUAGAAUUUUAUAUAAUAACCCAAAAGUGGAAAAAAUCCAAUGUCAAUCAACAGAUGCAUGGAUAAACAUUUCUUUAUUUUACUGUAAAAAAAAUUCUGAUACAUCCCAUCACAUGGAUAAAUCUUGAAAACAUAAGUGAAAUAAGCCAAAUACAAAAAGACAAAUAUGUGGUUACACCCACAUGAGGCAUUUAAUAUCAGCAAAUUCAUAGAGACAGGGAGUAGAAUAGAGGACACCAGGGACUGAGAAGGGGUGGGAUUGGGGAGUUAUCACUUAAUGGGUAGAGUUUGUUUCUAUCGGGGAUGAUAAAAAAAAAAGGUUAUGUCAUAGGAGAGUGUUGGGUGUGUGGGGCAAGGAAUAUACUGGAAUUCUAUACUUUACAAUUUUGCUGUGAAGCUAAAGUUACUCUAAAAAUAGGCUUAAACAAUAUUCUGGAAACAGUACUACUCAAAAUUUUAAACAACAUUGUGAGUGUGCCUGGUACCACCGAAUUUCACACUGAAAAAUGGUUAAUGGUAAAUUUUAUGUGUUUUUACCACAUUUGCAAAAUAAGAGAAAUUCUAGUAACUAUUCAAAGCUUUUUUUUUUUCAUCCAGCUAUAUGAUUCUGAAUUAAAUAUUGCUUAAUUGUUGUUUGGUUGUUAUUCUUAUCUUUACUUCUCUUACAGUCCAGAUUGUAGUUGGGCACAAUCCUUUAUUUUUAUGUGGUGCUGAAGCUGGAACCCAGAGCCUCAUAUGUGCCAGAGUCAUGAGUCUGCUAGAAGAAAGCCUCAAAGCACUGUAGAGGCUCAAGAGUGACAUCCAGAAGGGGAUGAAGGUUUUUUUUCAGAGAUGUUUUCUGAGAUGGGCCAUGAAGGAGGAGGAUUUCAAGAGACAGAGAUGAAAGAAGGAAAUUCUAUGGGCUGGGGUCAUAGCUCAGUGGUAGAGCGCUUGCCUAGCACACGUGAGGCACUGGGUUCGAUUCUUAGCACCACAUAUAAGUAAGUACAUAAAGGUCAAUCAACAAGUAAAAAAAAAAAAAUUAAAAAAGAAAGAAAGAAGGAAAUUCCAGAGGGGGCAGGCAACAUGACACUGAUGGGAAACUACCUCUUUUAAAAUAGGUUCAAUCCCAGGUCAGAGAUCAGUUCUGUCCUCUUGGACAAUUUAUAUAAUCUUUUAGAACUUUAAUUUCUCUUCUGUAAGAUGAGGAUAAUUAGUGUCCCUACUUCAUAGAGUUGUGUAACUAUCGUGAACAAUAAUGCAGGAAGAGUAUAGCAUGUUCACUGGCAUAUACUGGUCAUCCAACAAAUGUUAGCUAGGACUGUUAUAAUAAGGUGAGUAAACAGUGCAGAAGGUAGGCUGGGGCCGGGGCUCGUGGUAGAGCGCUUGCCUAGCAUGUGUGCGGCACUGGGUUCCAUCAACAGCACCAUGUAAAAAUAAGUAAAUACACGUAUUAAAAAAAAAAAAAGUGUAGAGGGUGAUAAGAA